ensembl:lncRNA
ACGGUAUUAAAGCAGCAGAUAUCAAGGAGCAGGGCCGCAGCAGCAGUAGCUCAUCCAAAGCAAUAACAACGCAUGAAGGCAAGCCAUGGCAACUGAAGGAAGGCUGGAAUCUAGCAUACCCAUGGUCUUGUUCUUAUUAUUACAACACAGCGUGACUAAAAAUAUCAAACCAAACAAAAGAAAUUCCUGCAGGCAAGGGGUAAGAGAGGAGGCCGACCACUGCUGGAAAUGGAACUUAUUGUUCACCUAAGUAGUGCAGCGGGGAACAGAAAUCACAGAAGCAAAGGCCAAGAUCAACAGCAGGAGGAGCACUGGAAGUAACAACAAUGUUCCUGAACAAGGAGCACAGACUCCAGAAGGGCUGAGAACAGUCAGAAAAGGAGCUGCAAAACUUGCUGAUAGUUUGAAGGCAAGGAUGGGCUGACCGCAAAAGACUCACAUGUCUCAACUCAGAUAAAGUAUCAGGGAGGAUCUUUCAAAACAACUCCGUGUUGAUCUAAACUUACUUCAACUGAAGUCAACAAUCAAACUCCCUGUGAAAGAAGAAUCAGUGACUUUGAAAACGAUACUCACAAAGCCUUAUAGAAAAAUACUUCCAGUGUCUUUGAUCAUGUAAUUGAGAUUGGAGUUUAACAACAUUAAGAUUCGCAAGACUUCUUCUUGGACUUAAAUAUUGACUCCUACACUUAAUUACUGGCUAAAUAACUCCUAUGCUGCCUAAAGAACUGUACAGUUCACAGACUUCUUUUAUUUCAUCUCAACAACAGGACAAAUCAAACCAACCCUAUGUGGACUUCUUCACAUAACCAGAUGAGACAGCCCAGUUUGUAGCUCCUGAAUAUUUAAAUACUUUAAAUUGAGAAUUGGAAAAGGUACAGCUUAAGGUACAGUCAAGUUUUCAUAUUCAUACAUAAAAUGAACUGAUGAACUUUGGAAAAUCCAUACCCCCCAGCUUGUAUCAUCUUAGAUCCCAGAUUUUCUGCAUCUGACGUGAUUUGGCAUGGCUAAGUGCCAGUCCUUGGGAAAAACCACAAACUGCUUUGGAAAUGUUGCUGGUGAGGAAAGAAAUGUAACAUCACCAUGAAUUACCCUAAGAAACACGAGUCUAAACUUGUAUUAUAGCUUGAUCUCAUCGGCUCACUUUAAACCUGAAACUCCAUUAAAAGACCUCCUCAUGGAAACUGUUCUUAAACCUAAAGCUAAAACCUGUUAAUUCAGAUACUGCUUUAAAGAUUCUCAUUGUAACUCAAAAAAAAAAAAAAAAAAAACCAACAGAUUUCCAUUCAGUUUUGUUUCAAAACGUUCAAGUGUCCAUCUACAACAUAUCUGCCAUUGCGAGGCAAAAGAUGGCUGAGUGUCUCACCAUGCGCUUUUGCUAUCAGCAGUCCUCUCCUACCAACAGCCUCUGCACACUUUCAGGUUAUCUGCUCAUAAAACAGGUCUACAGAGACAACAGUCAGACCUCCUUUUUAAGAAGUGGUGUUUCGCAGAAAUGGUCGUUCUGAAUGGACCUUGCUGAGAUGCAAAGUUGCACGGAGCUCAGGAUGGGACCAGGCAGGCUGAGGAAAUAUCCUGGACGGGGUUCCACCGUCAGUUACAGCGCUAUAAAUCAAGAUGAACGCCACCAAGUUUAGUGCAAUGAUUUGAGAUUUAAAUCAUUUCAACAGGAAUUGGGUUCACAUAGUGAAAUUCUCCCCUAGGCGUAAACACAGAUAAUGGAGCGGGGUGUGCAGGGUGAGACUACUGCAAACCACUGCCAAGAGGGAAAGGAGUUUAGAAGGUUUUUGAGACCUCCUAAAAGAUUAUGUCCGGUAUGAAAACUACUGAGCGCAUGUGUUUAUGCGUGAUCCCGCGUAGCUGUACACAGCCACACUCCUGUCUAACCCAGGGGCAAGAGCAGAGGCUGUUAACCUUCCCUUAGCCUCAUGCCUGCCUCGAGGUCACCCUGCGAGCACCUCACCCCCAGGAUUUGGUUCCUGG